rnacentral:rRNA from 1 species
UACGAAGGGGACUAGCGUUGUUCGGAAUUACUGGGCGUAAAGGGCGCGUAGGCGGCCUUGUAAGUCAGAUGUGAAAGCCCUGGGCUCAACCCGGGAACUGCAUUUGAAACUGCAAAGCUAGAAGAUUUGAGAGGGUAGUGGAAUUGCGAGUGUAGAGGUGAAAUUCGUAGAUAUUCGCAAGAACACCAGUGGCGAAGGCGACUACCUGGCAAAUUAUUGACGCUAAGGCGCGAAAGCGUGGGGAGCAAACAGG